GAUGAACGCUGGCGGCGUGCCUAAUACAUGCAAGUCGAGCGAACGGACGAGAAGCUUGCUUUUCUGAUGUUAGCGGCGGACGGGUGAGUAACACGUGGAUAACCUACCUAUAAGACUGGGAUAACUUCGGGAAACCGGAGCUAAUACCGGAUAAUAUUUUGAACCGCAUGGUUCAAAAGUGAAAGACGGUCUUGCUGUCACUUAUAGAUGGAUCCGCGCUGCAUUAGCUAGUUGGUAAGGUAACUGCUUACCAAGGCAACGAUGCAUAGCCGACCUGAGAGGGUGAUCAGCCACACUGGAACUGAGACACGGUCCAGACUCCUACGGGAGGCAGCAGUAGGGAAUCUUCCGCAAUGGGCGAAAGCCUGACGGAGCAACGCCGCGUGAGUGAUGAAGGUCUUCGGAUCGUAAAACUCUGUUAUUAGGGAAGAACAUAUGUGGAAGUAACUGUGCACAUCUUGACGGUACCUAAUCAGAAAGCCACGGCUAACUACGUG
rnacentral:rRNA from 1 species